UAGUUUUCGGCGGACACAACAUCUUUGUUUGUAUGUGGUGCUGAGGAUCGAACCCGAGCCGCACGCAUGCCAGGGGAGCGCGCCUACCGCUUGAGCCACAUCCCCAGCCCAAGACCAGUGUGAUUUAAUCCGAUACACAGACAUAGAACUCACAUAGCAAAAGUCUAAAUUACCCUUCCUGUCUUCACUGAUCAAGCUUACUUCCUAGCCAUUUAUUCAUUCUUCUUCCUGCAGGUGUUUCUUGGAUUUAUUCCGUCAAAUGGUUAUUUAUCGUGGACCCAGUACAGGCUGAGCUCAGCUUUGGGCAUUUAUAUAAAAAGUACAAAACCCAACCUCUGACCUGCCAAGGAUACAUCUCUUUAAUGGAAGGAGUUGGAACUCUUGUGUGUGAUAAAAUGGACUUUAUAUAUGCUGGGAUGCCCUUAACUGCAGGGUUGUAGGUGAGUCAGUUUCCCUGAGGCUUUUUCUUAGCUGUAGCAUGAGACAAACAAUAUGACUGGAAUGAGGAUUAGAUUAUGUAAUUCUUCUCCACUGUAGCAGGUGUUAAAGACGUGUCAAAACUCUUCUCAUUAAGGGGAAGGCAUUCUGGUUGGAAAGCCAAGGCCAGGACACCUGGAUAUCUCCAAUCAGUGAAAGUUCUAAAUUGCAAUGAUCUAGACCAGCAGUAUGUACAGAUAUCUUCUACAGAAUCCUAGGUCUCCAGGCUGUUAAUAGUUGUUUGAAGAAUGGGGAGAAAGUUUAAAAUCAGGGGAAGAUUCUUGGGGUUAACCAAAGUGAAAUGAAUUUCUACACAUGGAGCAGAUCUUUGUUGUUGUUAGUGAUUCUGUAGUAGUGAGAUUGAACCCAGAGCUCUCUGGGUUCAAUCCCACUAACAAUCUGCCACUGAGCUAUAUCUUAGCCCUUUCUGUUUUUGAGACAGUAUCUCUCCAGGUUGUCCAGAUUAGCCUUAAACAUGCAAUGCUCAAGGUUUUUUCCUCUGCGUGCCCUCUAGACCAGACCUUAAAUAAGUGAAUAGAUAUUGACAGUGAAUCUCAGGUAGAGAUAUUGGGGGCAGGUGGAAAAGAAAUGAAAUAAUCAGCAUUGGGCUGGGGGUAUAGCUCAAUGGUAAUGGGUUUGCCUAACAUGCAUAAGGUCCUGGGUUUGAUCCUCAGAAUUGCAAAAAUAAAAUAAAAUGUUCAGUGUUUCCCCAAACUAUCUGAUCCACAAAAGUAUUGGUUUAGGGUCUCAUGUUUUAUGGGACAUACAUUAGGAAAUGGUAAUAUGUAUUUCAAAAAUUUGCUGGAGCACAGAGCACCAAGAGAGCAGUGUGAAGGAAAGAUUUCACACUGGAGAUCAGAAUUUGCAAGGAGUCUAUGGGAAUGAUGGAAGACUCCAAGAGCCUUUUCCUAACUAUUUCCCCAAAGCCCAGUACAUAGCAGGUAUUUAAAUGUAUCUAUGGCCAGGAAACCAAGAGCUCAGGAUUUGAAUGAAUAGGAUCAAAGCAUGGGAGCAUUCUGAUGGAGAGGGGAGGUCAAGAGAGGCAAUGUUGAGACAAUGGAUAUUGCUUCCUUGUGGCUCUAGGGGUAGGACAAUCUAAAUGAGACAGAAGUGGCCUUUCGUAAAGCAGGAAAUCAGUGGAUUCAAGAAGGAAGCCAGGUUGUGUUUGGCCUUGAACAUCAGGAGAAAGUGUGGACCAGCAGAUACAGGCCCUGUGGUAGCCUUGAAUAUGGCAGUAGAAUAAAAGCAAAGUUUAAAGGUCAGCCUCUCAAUACUCCACAAGACGGAUGGUCGGAAGAGCCUGGGUGCUGACCUAGAAGUGACUGCAGUGUCCAGGCCCACAGUGAUAGGCCCAGGGUGGUGGCUGGAGAGGAGCCCAGUCAGAAUGGCAUACCGACACGAUAUACCAGGUGUUGAGAAGGAAAAGGGGGACCAUGUCAUGACUGAUGCAGGGAGGAUGGGGGUGUGAAAGGGCUGAUAUGAGUGGAGCAGAAAGGUGACAGCUCUCAGUGGGGCACCCAAGGCCUGGGCUCUGGGGUCUCUCUGCCUUCUACCUUGGCCAGGAUCUUUACAAGGCACCUGUAUCAUCUGACCAUGUUGUGUGGAAACACUGGGGAACCAGAGAACCGUGAAAUACCACUAGCAAUAAUCAUGAAGAAACGGGUGGAAAAUGACAUCAGAGUGUCACCUAUUGGUGUCCAUGGGAUGGGGUGGAAUUUGGAGAAAAAGAUCUAGUCUAGAACUUGGUGAAUUUUCUAUUUUUAAAAAAAUUCUCCCCUUGGCAGAGUUGCCACCACCUCACUUUAGCAACAGCCUCCCUUGACACUGUCCAGCAUCUCUGUCCCAUCAGGCCCACUCUUUCUUCUUCUUUCCAGUCCCCUAAUCUGUGGUUUGCAAGGGGUAGCUGGACGACCUACACAGGUGUGAAGGUGAACUGUGCUGGGGCUGGCUGACGGAACUUUGAACGGAGGGCUGAAUUUGACAAAGUAUGGGGAGGGGACUGCAAUUUUUGGCCAUAUCAGGAGGAUUUGUCUUGUAUCACGCUUGCACCAAAGAUGUGUUUCUGCAUUAAUGCAAUGAUUCUGCUUCAUGAGUAUUUGCUGGGGCAGCCAACAGUCAUGAUAAAACUGCACCAGAUGGUGAAGGGAGAGAAGGUGGGUGGAGUGGUGACUACAGGUAGUGACGGUAGGAGAGCAAUGAAGGGCUUACAUGUGGGGCAAUUAUGGGUGAUGGAUUCCAUAUUUUGAGUUCACUCUUCAUCUCCUUUCUUCCUCCAUUUUUUUGUUCCUUUCCUCUUUUCCUUUUUGUUUUUAAACAUUUCAAGUGAACCAGAACUUUCUCCUACACAAAAGCAGGCUGAAUAUAGAACGUAUAAACUGUAUAAACUCCUAGAGAGCAAAAGACUUCUGUAUUCUCUCAGAUUUACUUGAUAUCUUAAUUUUUUUUAAAGUAUCAGUUUAUGUAUGUAUGUGUGUGUGUGUGUGUGUGUGUGUGGUAUUGGGGAUUGAAUCCAGGAGCAUUCUGCCUCUGAGCUAUACCAUUAACCCUUUUUCAAAAUCUUAUUUUGAGACAGGGUUUCCUAAGUUGCUGAGGGUGUCACUAAGUUGCUGAGGUUGGUCUUGAACUUCGAUUUUCCUGCCUCAGCCUCCUGAGUAGCUGGGAUUGCAGGUGUGCACCACCAUGCCUGGCUAUAUUAUUUCCAAAUAAUUGUCUGCUAACUUGUUAUUUUUAACUUAUAUCUCAUUUCCUUUUCAUAGUUUUU
rnacentral:lncRNA from 1 species